GCUCGACACUAAUGGUGUGUGAGUGACUGUGCAGACCUUGCUGUUGUAGACUACCUCUCUCACCUUCUGGGCCACCAGCUUCAGCAAACAGUCAUUUCACAGUACAUUUCAUUGAAGAACAAAGGAAAAGGAUAAGCCUUUAAAAAGCUACAGAAAGGAAAGAGUUGUGUUUCUAAGAGCAAAGAUUUAAGCAAAGUCAAAAAAGCUUGUCCAAGUUAAAGGCCCAGGGUUUAUCACUAUGUGGAUAUAAUCAAACCUGUGUAUUCUACACCCUCUAUGUAAUUUCUGACGGACUGUUAAUAAAUGGAUCAUUUGCAGUAGCUGCUGAGGGCACACCUGACACCUCAGGCUACAAGAACUGCCUCCUGGCUAGACCAAACUGGCAAAAAGAAGCAUUCCUUUCCCAUAACUUGGGGAAGGGAAACGGAGGAGGAAAAGGGAACGGCUCAGAAUGUACGGCCAAGAGGCCCUAGGAGGUGCUUUUGCCACCCUGUUGUGAGCUCAUGUAGCCCUGAGUGUCCACGAAUAAA